rnacentral:rRNA from 1 species
UACAGAGGUGGCAAGCGUUGUUCGGAAUUACUGGGCGUAAAGGGCGCGUAGGCGGCCAUCUAAGUCAGACGUGAAAUCCCCCGGCUUAACCUGGGAACUGCGUCUGAUACUGGAAGGCUUGAGUAUGGGAGAGGGAUGUAGAAUUCCAGGUGUAGCGGUGAAAUGCGUAGAUAUCUGGAGGAACACCGGUGGCGAAGGCGGCUUCCUGGACCGACACUGACGCUGAGGCGCGAAAGCUAGGGGAACAAACGGG